ACGAACGCUGGCGGCGUGCCUAAUACAUGCAAGUAGAACGCACAGUUUAUACCGUAGCUUGCUACACCAUAGACUGUGAGUUGCGAACGGGUGAGUAACGCGUAGGUAACCUGCCUGGUAGCGGGGGAUAACUAUUGGAAACGAUAGCUAAUACCGCAUAAUAUUAAUUAUUGCAUGAUAAUUAAUUGAAAGGUGCAAUUGCACCACUACCAGAUGGACCUGCGUUGUAUUAGCUAGUAGGUGAGGUAACGGCUCACCUAGGCGACGAUACAUAGCCGACCUGAGAGGGUGAUCGGCCACACUGGGACUGAGACACGGCCCAGACUCCUACGGGAGGCAGCAGUAGGGAAUCUUCGGCAAUGGACGAAAGUCUGACCGAGCAACGCCGCGUGAGUGAAGAAGGUUUUCGGAUCGUAAAGCUCUGUUGUAAGAGAAGAACGGGUGCGAGAGUGGAAAGUUCACACUGUGACGGUAUCUUACCAGAAAGGGACGGCUAACUACGUG
rnacentral:rRNA from 1 species